GGGGAUAUGGUUUAGUGGUAUAAUUUCUCAUUUGCAAUGACCAAUUAGUCUUUGAAAAUUGAGACGGUCGUGGGUUCGAUUCCCACUGUCUCCA